rnacentral:rRNA from 1 species
CCUACGGGAGGCAGCAGUGAGGAAUAUUGGUCAAUGGGCUUACGCCUGAACCAGCCAAGUCGCGUGAGGGAAGACUGCCCUAUGGGUUGUAAACCUCUUUUGUCAGGGAGCAACGCCGGUUACGUGUAGCCGGACUGAGAGUACCUGAAGAAAAAGCAUCGGCUAACUCCGUGCCAGCAGCCGCGGUAAUACGGAGGAUGCGAGCGUUAUCCGGAUUUAUUGGGUUUAAAGGGUGCGUAGGCGGAAUGCCAAGUCAGCGGUAAAAUCGCGGGGCUCAACCUCGCUCCGCCGUUGAAACUGGCGUUCUUGAGUGGGCGAGAAGUAUGCGGAAUGCGUGGUGUAGCGGUGAAAUGCAUAGAUAUCACGCAGAACUCCGAUUGCGAAGGCAGCAUACCGGCGCCCGACUGACGCUGAGGCACGAAAGCGUGGGGAUCGAACAGGAUUAGAUACCCGGGUAGUC